CUGGACGCAGCUUGACCAUGCGAGCUUCGAAAGUCUCGAAGUGAAACAAGCUGCGGAGCCUGGACACGCCGCGCAAUUCUCCCUCAUCUUCACUGUUCCUCCACUCGCUCGAUCGCUUGGCAGCUAUGGCGGUUGGACCUGGAGAGUUUGGGGUUCCCUUAUUUAGCCCAGUCUCGGAGCCUUUACACCCACUUUUGGCUGUGCUUCUGAUAACAAUCGGGCUUUUGGUGAUGGCGUCUUUUUUCAUUUAUGAGGUAACUUCUACUAAGUUCAGUCGAAGCCUGGGUUAUGAGUUCGCUACAGGAGGAUUAGCAUCCGUCUUCUUGGGCUUUGGGACGCUCUUCUUGCUGCUAUGGACAGGAGUAUAUGUUUGAUUCGUCUGAAAAUAUGAUCUAUUGAAAUGAAGUUUCCAGGUGUGGACCAGGGAGUGGUUUUUCACUUCACUGAAGCUCUAAGAUGCAGUCAUAUCAUGCACAGUAGUUUUCGCUGGAUCAAACCAUGUGCUAUUGAUUUCGAAAUGGAGAAAUUUCGUGCGGUGCUCUGUGUAGUACAUGCAUGAUCUGUUUGCAAAGGGUAACUAGGAAGUGUGGUUGCCAAUCUGUUGAAGAGUUAUAGGAAGGUGCGGACGUUAGUAAAUAUUGUCACCUUAAAUGAAAUGCUGAUCAAUCAUAGCGUAGAUCAUGAUCAGGUUCUUUUACAUUUUGUAAGUUCAAGUAUUUAUAGGCAUGCGACUCAAUGCUUACGCAGUUGCCGUUUGAUGUAUACUCUAUUCCUACCAACGACCGCGAAGGACCAGAUGGACUAUUCUUCUGGUUACUCAAAGGUCUAUUCCACCAGAACUUGAUACUGCUCUAGACUGGAGGUGCAGUAUUCCGUCGACGUCUUUUGUGGGUUUUGGAGUUGACAGGUGUUCCUGAUUCUAAGCCCAACAUGACCAUAGGUUGCAAAGCCGUGUCAUUUUACAUUCAAGAUGAAAGCCUCAUACCUCUCAGAGGCUUGUUGUGUUUUUUUUACUGUUUUCUUUCUCUUUUGUGUAUUUAUUUUUUAAUUUUUUAAUUUUUUUUUGUCUCCCACUUGUCUAUUUAUUCAUGUUUCUCCUAAAUUAUUCUAGAUGAUUGUGAUACUGGAGUGCGCUUUUUUCAUCUGGUAUUGAAUUUUCAGUUAUCCUCUCCAUUUCUCCUUUUCCUGAUGGUUACUGUGGCUGUCCCACGCAGUAGGCAUGCUUCAUGCCUCGGUUGUCCAAUACAACUGACGUUCCUGCUGCUUGUUGCUUGUCUGUACCUAUUGUUGCCCUUUGUAAAGACCCAUCGUUCUGUUGCUGUUAGUCGAUACCCGAUUGCUGUUAAUAUUUGAGGCUUCGGGAUUAGAUACCUGUUAUUAAACACUUCGUGCUUUACAUCCUCUUAGGUCAAUCGACGAGCAGCCGGACCUGCUUUUUUGAACUCAUUGGCAUUCAUUGUUCUCAACUGGUGAAGGUUAAAUAUCAGAGGUUGAAUCCUCUGCUAAGGCUCUCAAUCCAUGAUGAAGAUUGGAAGAUAAUGCUAUGCAUCCGAGCUUCAUCUUCCAUGAGCCUCCUCCUUUUCAUUCGAAGUUCCUCUUUCCUUCUCUGAACUUCACGGCUUACUUCCUGCAAGUUCACCUCAAUAUACUGUAGAGAUUUCUCUUCCUCCUCUAAUGUUAUCUCAGUGAAGCCACCAUUAAAUUUUAGAUCAAUCUCUUUGCUGGUUCCCAUUGGGUACCCUUGUAGCAUCGCUUCCACUUUUUGCUUAAUUCCUGCUGGUGAUGCUGACCUCAAUUGUUGAAGUCGCUCCAGAAGAGCUGUGUGAGAGGAAGCAGGUCCUUCACUUGUGCUCGCAGCUUGUUGAAGAAGUCUCUUGAAUGGCGGAGGACUUUCUGGCAUCCCCAGUUGAAAAUCCGUCAUGGGAAGUUUACAUGCUCCAACAGCAGCAUACGGACGGAAGGGCCUAUUGACUGGUGGCGAAGGAAUGUUGUUUAUGGGCCUGCUCCCGUCAAGAGAGGAAGUCUGAGUCCUUGAACUAGGGUCCUUGUUCUCUACACAGCUUUCAGAUGUUAAAGCUCCAGAGGUUGGGCUUCCAGACUCGGGAGAAAGACGCAAUGACAAUGUGCUUCUGUCAAAGGGCAUCUUGCACAUAUUUGAGUGUUGUAAAGAACACAGCUGUGUGCAGGAAAGCGAUGCCAAGCCAUUACCGUCGUGGUGAUCAUUCUCACCUGCAAAUCUAUCCAAGGUUGUUAUGUGAUUUCUUAGGUUGCUGGUAAUGCUUUGACCUGGUGAGUUCUCAUAAAGAACCAAGGCAGGAGGUCCCUGCCCUUCAGUUCCUUGGUUCCGUCUCUGGCCUUUGGGAGACAUGUAGUGCAUACUUGUGACAGAACUUGAUCGGGACGAGUUCUGGACUUGUUGGAUUCUUCCUGGUGUGGUGGCUGCCUCAUUGUCACUACUUGAUGCUGGGGAGGUUGAUUUUGGUGGAGUGUGAUCUCGGUUCCCAGUGCCUCGAGGCAUGAACGGUGGUGAAACAACAGUAGAAGUUCCUUCACUGUUGCCAUGUAGUGAAGGACCCAUUGAUAUUGAUGUCACCUGGGUCCGCUUCCGUGAGAUGCUUCGAAUAGGCUUAGAAUAGCAAGGUUGACAGAGUGGGCUGGCAUCCGGAGGUAGUUGUGGGGUGAAGCAAAUGCAAAACAACCGGUUGUCACAUUUUGAGGAUAGGAGAGAGAUAGCCAGCUUGAAGGAAGCACGUCCUGAUGCCAUGCGAGUUGGCCUAUCCUGAGCCGGAAACUCCACCCCAUUGAAUGUUGUGAAUAAUGGUGGCUCAGCUAGAAAUGGCUUUUCAUCUCGAACCACAGGGCUGUGGUCAUGGGCGUAGGCCACCGAAGCCACGAUGGCCAUGUCGCGAGAUACCAAGCUUCCUUGCUCAUCCAAAAGGUGAACACUCAGUACGAACUUCCUCCUGCAGGAUGCCUUUCCUCCUAGUACGGUCAGAACUUCAGAGCUCUUCCCUAUACCCAUUGCCUCAGAAGCUAUCGAUGAUACAAGCUUAUACAUCUCGGUGGGUAGUCUCGCGCCUUUGGUACUGCCGUUGUCUGAACUGCAGACUACAACCAUACCCACGUAGUUGUGGAAAUCUGUUGUCAACCGUCUCCGAACACGCAAUAAGCCAUAUGACGAUUUUCUCCUUCUUUCGACUCCAGAAGUAACUCCUUGAUCCUCUGAACUUGUUGAGCUGAAAGCUCAUAAAUCAGCAGCUCCUCUGGAGUGUUGUUUCAUAUUACCUGCUGGUCAACAGGCUUCGUUCGAGUGUUCUUUGCCUGGUAAGGUACAUCACUUGCUUUAUGUAAAGUAGUUUUCUCUACUUUUUCUUCAAAACAUGUUCUUUUUGCCGUUUUGCGUUCCAGUAUCGUCACUUGGUUUUUAAUGUGAGAUCGCUGCAUGCAAAGAGCCUCAUUGCUAGUGAGCAAGGGCUCCGGUUGGCUCCUUGUACCUCACGUUUUUACUUCUGCAGCUUUUUGCAAUUUUUACGUUUUGCGACUACGCAGGACUUCUGUGUUGUAAAAAUCUGACUGGCGAUAAGUGUUGAUCCGAGCUGGGCUGUGCAUCUGUUAGACAAAAAUCAUUCGCGUUAGGAAACCGCAAUUGUAUCAACAAUUAUGUUUUCAUGUCAAUUACAUUUUUUAUUAGUUCGUUCGUUUGUUCGUUUGUUUUGUGUGUGCAUGUGUUUGUGUCUAUUUAAAAGAAACCUUUUUAUCCUAUGAAAUGUUUAGUUGACUUCGUUUACAACGAACAUGAGGAAGUUCCAAACUACGGCAGUGAUUCAGACCAAGUGGAAUGAGAUCUUGUUCAUGAAAUACUGAGCUUGCCAAGUUUUUCCAGCUGCGGGUUUAUCAUUUCUACCUACUCCUGAGUUCUAUUUGAAACAAGACAGUUCAAUCUUACGCACUCAUCUGCGAUUUACAAGCAGCACCCGUGGAGGAAGGGAUAGAAAUAACUACACCCAUGUUUCAUGAUGUUUUAGAAAGUAAACAACAAUCGACCUUAUUUCCAGUCCGUUCUCGAUCGAGAAUGUAGACAAACCCUUGAAUGUGAAACGAAAACGGAGACGACUGAGAAACUGGUGGCAUUGCUUCUAUAAACUUAGCUGGCAAUGUUCGAGGCUGCACUUCCACAUACCGUACUUACGGCUAUUGAGUUGUGAAGCUCUUUUUAAGGCAAUGUGUUCUGAAAUUUGAGUUUUUUUGACAUUGACUGUCCAUUUCUCCACCUGCUGUAGUGCACCAAGAACCUUUUGAGGAUUGAUGAAUGAGAUUGCCUGAUUAACUCGCAGCCGGUGCUAUCGGUGGAAAUUGCGAUUAAGCGAAACAUGAUUAGACCUCGCUGAUGCACAUAGACCACCAAGGGAAAUAAUCAAUAGCUCUCACGCGACUGCUGCAGAGGAGAUCAAGGGCAGAGCUGCGGACCUGGAUGUGGUCUCGCAGUUGUCGGGGUGCACAGGUGCGGAACUUGUUUCCCUUGCCCUUUUGAGCAGACAAACUCCAAAAUUAAAGGAAUUGCAAAUUUGCAACCGCAAGGAUUCCCACAUGCAACCCCGAAUUCCUCUGGGCUAGAUUCAUAUCCAUCAGCUUGUCACUCCACAGCGACGGUUGCCAUCGGACUCUGUGAUGGUUUAUUCGAUUGGCCUCUUAGUCGGACUGCCUGCCCCUCCACGCGUGGUGAUCCAGCUGAAGUGGAAGUCCUUCAUUGGUCGCUGCAAUCUUCAGGCUUGUCUGGUGGGACACAUUUGCGCUAAACGGGGCCCUAAAUGCUGAAACUUUAAUGUUCAGUUCUCGUCAAGUCCAACAGUGUGGCUUGAGCGACAGAGUGGACGCCAGGAAAAUGUUCUUGACUCGAACCCAAAUUGUUGGUCAUACUCGGCCUAAAUAGUACGCCUUCGUCAAUGGGUUUUGUGGCUUCAUGAGAAACUCUUCGGAGCAUACUAAGUGGGGAGAGAUUAUUUAUUUGUAUGGUUUUAAGCUGCUCUUGAUGAAGCGUUUUCUCAGGUGUGGAUUCUUCAUGUCACGGUCUUUUCUGAAGAAUGCAUGAAGUGCAGCGUUGGAGGGCGUUUUUGAAAUGAGAGAAGAACUUUAAAACUCUUGAGAGCAAUAUGAAUUCCCAACUUGGAGCAUUCAGAUGUAAUGCAUUGCCCUUCAGCAGUAUGGAUGGAUGGAGUAGCAUUUGAUCAUAAUCGAUACAGUAAGGUGGUAUUACGUCACGUGGCGAAAAGCGUAUCAAAUUGAUACAGCAUCGCUUUCUUACUAAGUUGCUAACUUGGCGAUCUCGGUGAAUCUGCGUGUAGAGUGCAGUGGCCAUGACGAAAAAACUCUUUACUAACCGCUAAGCCGUAGUGGUGGUGCGACCAGUUAGGUUGCAAGAAAGUGAUUCCGGGACAGUUAUAGUGCGGUCUUCACCAUUCCUACGGUUGCAACCGUGCUUGCUAACUGUACACCUUUUACCCCUCCUGCUCUCGCAACCGAGGCAGUUUCUUUUAACUGCAAGACUGUCGGCCUCAUUCACACUAUUGCCAUUUAAGGGUUUUGUAAGAACAGAGAUUGACAGCUUCCGGAGUGAUGUGUAAGAUGGUUCGUAGUGGGUGGCAAGAUUGGCGAUUUGUGCUCGUUCAGUGAGAUUUUUCUCUGUAAUGCUUGGGAAUCGCUCUGGAGAUGCAAGUAGUGGCGCAAAUGAUUGUAUUCUCAACCUAUUUGAUGAAUUCUGUGACGUACAAUAUCAUAUAUCCUUCGCGUUAAAUGUGUAAUAAUUUUUGAUUUCUAAGCUACAUUUAGUAAAAUGCAGGUGAUUUUAGGGUGUAGAACAUCGAGCGCGAUCAAUUUGCAAGGGAAGGCAAGUUAGUGAAUGGCAGAUGAAAAGGACAUUCGUUCUUAUCACCAUCCAUCCACCUGGUGCUCAAACCGCCAGCGCUUGUGAAAACUGACGCACAAUAACUACUUUGAUAUCUGA